rnacentral:rRNA from 1 species
AUGGCACAAUAUAUGCCCUCCCGGGAACACGAAGACGGCGCCGAAGCAAACCAAGAGGUCUACCAACGGUUCACCAACUUGGUGUCCUCCUGGCCGGUCUCCCCGGGCCUCUCCGGCUUCCAGAUCUACCGCCACGAAAGCGGUUGGUACACCAGCCUGGCUCCAAUGGUGGGCGCCAUGGUCGCUGACGCAUGCUUCACCGCGCGCCCCUCCGAUAUCGUCGUGGCCACGCUGCCCAAGUCCGGGACGACGUGGAUCAAAGCACUUCUCUACUCCACCAUGCACAGGAAGGAGCACCCCGUAGACUCCGGCGACCACCCGUUCAACUCCGUCAGCCCACACGAAUGCGUCAAGUUCCUGGAGUACCAGCUCUACACGGCGAGCAGGAUCCCAGACAUCGGCCGGCUCCCGGACCCGAGGCUCUUCGCGACGCACGUCCCAUUCGUGUCGCUGCCGAGGUCCGUCCCAGGAUCGGGCUGCAAAAUCGUCUACGUGUGCCGCGACCCCAAGGACAUCCUGGUCUCGCAGUGGAAGCUCUCCAACAAGUUCAGGAUCAGGGACGGGCUGGAGCCGCUCUCCGUCGAGGCCGCCGCCGAUUUCUUCUGCGACGGCUUGUCACCGGGAGGGCCAUACUGGGAUCAUGUCCUUGGGUAUUGGCGCGCGCAUAUGGCGCACCCCGAGCGGGUGCUAUUCUUCCGGUACGAAGACAUGAUUCGGGACCCUGCGGCUCAUGUGAGUAAGCUGGCGGAGUUCGUCGGACGCCCGUUCGACGCGGGGGAGGAGGAUGCCGGUACGGUGGACGCCAUUGUCAGGCUAUGCUCGUUUGAGAACAUGACCGGGCUCGGGGCCACCAAGGAAGGCAAGACCGAGCUCGUGGUAGGCGCGGUGGAGAACAACUGGUUCUUCCGGCGCGGCAUGGUUGGGGACUGGGAGAACCAUCUGCCGCCAGAGACGACACGGAAGAUCGACGCCAUCACCCACGCCAGGUUCAGGGAUUCCGGCCUCCAUGUCUAG